AUUGAACGCUGGCGGCAUGCCUUACACAUGCAAGUCGAACGGCAGCACGGGUGCUUGCACCUGGUGGCGAGUGGCGAACGGGUGAGUAAUACAUCGGAACAUGUCCUGUAGUGGGGGAUAGCCCGGCGAAAGCCGGAUUAAUACCGCAUACGAUCCACGGAUGAAAGCGGGGGACCUUCGGGCCUCGCGCUAUAGGGUUGGCCGAUGGCUGAUUAGCUAGUUGGUGGGGUAAAGGCCUACCAAGGCGACGAACAGUAGCUGGUCUGAGAGGACGACCAGCCACACUGGGACUGAGACACGGCCCAGACUCCUACGGGAGGCAGCAGUGGGGAAUUUUGGACAAUGGGCGAAAGCCUGAUCCAGCAAUGCCGCGUGUGUGAAGAAGGCCUUCGGGUUGUAAAGCACUUUUGUCCGGAAAGAAAUCCUUGACUCUAAUACAGUCGGGGGAUGACGGUACCGGAAGAAUAAGCACCGGCUAACUACGUG
rnacentral:rRNA from 1 species